rnacentral:rRNA from 1 species
CCUACGGGGGGCUGCAGUGGGGAAUAUUGGACAAUGGGCGCAAGCCUGAUCCAGCCAUGCCGCGUGAGUGAUGAAGGCCUUAGGGUUGUAAAGCUCUUUCGUCAGGGAAGAUAAUGACGGUACCUGAAGAAGAAGCCCCGGCUAACUUCGUGCCAGCAGCCGCGGUAAUACGAAGGGGGCUAGCGUUGCUCGGAAUCACUGGGCGUAAAGCGCACGUAGGCGGCUUUCUAAGUCAGGGGUGAAAUCCCGGAGCUCAACUCCGGAACUGCCUUUGAUACUGGAAAGCUUGAGUUCGGGAGAGGUGAGUGGAACUGCGAGUGUAGAGGUGAAAUUCGUAGAUAUUCGCAAGAACACCAGUGGCGAAGGCGGCUCACUGGCCCGAUACUGACGCUGAGGUGCGAAAGCGUGGGGAGCAAACAGGAUUAGAUACCCUAGUAGUC